AAGUCUGGGCAGGGCAGCUUGGGAGGAUUGGAGCUGGGCUCUGAGAUGGUGCAGGCCUGCUGACAUCAGCUGUGUUCCAUGGGGUUGCCAAUUUGCUGAGGGCCAGUGGAAGUUGGGAAAAGGAGUUUGUGCACACCAGCCCAUUUCUCAGGUGGGAUCUGCAGACUGGCCAGCGCCCCGGGUGAGAGCGCUCGCGGUGGGGAGCCCAAGGGGCGGGUCAGGGCGCGUGGGGCAUCUCCUCCUGAUGCCUCCCUGCCCGCCUGUAGUUGGGCAGAGGCGCGCGGCCAGUCAGGGCCCUCGGCCAGCCGGGGACCGGCUCCCCUGGGCCUCCCCGGACUUACUCGGGUAGCGAUAGUAGAAUUCGUUGUCGAGGUCGCUGGUGACGUUCCUGGACAGCUUGUCCUCCGUCCAGCGGGCGUCGGCGUCGGGCUGGUAGCGCACGAACACGCCGAAGAGGACCACCAUGGCCACCUCCAGGAGCAGGCAGGUGGCCGGCAGCCGCCAGCGGAGGAUACAUGAAAAUCCAUACAGGAUACAUCCACACAGGAUCCAGGGGCGCCUAAGAACUAGACCAGGGAAACCCGGCGAGACCGGACAACCCAGCGAGACGUGGACCCCGGAUACUGGCUGGACCAGAAAGAGGGUGACAGUGGGAAAGCCGGCGAAAUCCACACCAAGCCUGCAGUUUGGUUGACAGGGCUGUGCCAUGUUAGCUUCGGGGUUGUGACAGAUGCGCCCGGGUUAUGUAAGAAGUUUAGAGGAAAAAAAUGGGUGCAGGGUAUACAAGGACUCUCUGUACUAUGUUUGCGACUUUUAUGUAAAUCCAAAAUUAUUCCCAAAGAAAAAGAGAUUGAGAAAAAAAUAUGCAUGUUAAAAGAUCAUAAGAACAGUUUAAGAGUUUUUCAUAAGUUCAUUGAGUUAUGAUCCGUAAUUACACAAUGGUUAGUGUGUGAGAUAUUGACAUGAGCUAACUGUAGAAUUUAAGUUAAGUCGAUGCUUUGUCCAUAUUUUGUCAAAAUUACUUUGAUUUUCUGAUUUUUCUUUAAAAAAUGUAAUACAGGUGUAUUGUAGAGAUUUUGGAAAAUACAGAAAAGCACAAAGAAAAACUAAAAACCACCUGUAAUCGCACUAUUUAGAAGCAACACUCCUAUAAGAAAGAUUUGUACUGUAAUGCUGAUUUAUGCUGCUUUAUUCACUUAAUAUUUUGUAACCAUCUUCCCAUAUUCUUCAUCUUCUACAUCAUUCUAAUGGCAGGAUAUGCCAUGCUUUAUCUAGCUGAUCUCCUUGUGUUAGACAAGGAGGUUAUUUUUUAUUUGUUUAGUGUUAUAAAUAACUGCCACGAAC